rnacentral:rRNA from 1 species
UACGUAGGGUGCAAGCGUUUGUCCGGAAUUAUUGGGCGUAAAGAGCUCGUAGGCGGUUUGUCGCGUCUGCUGUGAAAACUCGGGGCUUAACCCCGGGCCUGCAGUGGGUACGGGCAGACUAGAGUGCGGUAGGGGAGACUGGAAUUCCUGGUGUAGCGGUGAAAUGCGCAGAUAUCAGGAGGAACACCGGUGGCGAAGGCGGGUCUCUGGGCCGUAACUGACGCUGAGGAGCGAAAGCGUGGGGGAGCGAACAGG